AAUUGUCAAAAUUUGAGUGUUACCGGAAAGGCAAUUUGAAAGGUAUAUGAUAGGCACGAGUAAGCAGUAACAUAUUGCCAAUGAAGCAUUACAAAGGAGAAGCACCUUAAAAGAUGUCAUCAGAGAGAUGUGUGAUUGGAAAUGAAGGUGGGCCAGGCAUCUAUUGAAGGUAAUUUUACAGAUGAAGAAAUGAGGCAGAGUAAAGUGACUCAUCCCUGGUCCCAUAGCUAACUUAUUAAAUGCCCUGACCUUCUCCACUAACCUUUGGAAUUAUACAACUGGCAGCUGCAUGACACCUUGGCUAUCAAGUUCACCAGCACUAGAAGCAAAGCCUUAGCUCCAGGUCAAGGCAUCCAGGCUGACUUGCUAGUUUCCUUCAAAGUUUGGCUCAAGUCAUCUCUUACAUGAAGCCUUUCCUGAUCUCCAUAGCUGCUAGUGC